rnacentral:rRNA from 1 species
GACGUAGGGUGCGAGCGUUGUCCGGAGUUAUUGGGCGUAAAGCGCGCGUAGGCGGCGUGGUGCGUCGCACGUGAAAGCCCGCGGCUCAACCGCGGAGGGUCGUGCGAGACGGCCGCGCUGGAGGCAGGGAGAGGCUGGUGGAAUUCCCGGAGUAGUGGUGAAAUGCGUAGAGAUCGGGAGGAACACCGGGUGGCGCAGGCGGCCAGCUGGCCCUGACCCUGACGCUGAGGAGCGAAAGCGUGGGGAGCGAACAGGAUUGAGA